UUAUGAAGUUUCUGCUUAUUGCAAGCUUUCUGCUGCUUCAACUUUCUACUACCAUCAGCCCAGUCCCUACCCCCAUGGCCACUGCUGUGUGUCUCCUGACAAUAUUAACUUCACAGAAUGCACUGAAUAAGUCUACCAGAUUGCAGGAGAGCUGCUCUGGUUUCUGGCUGCUGUGCUGCCAUCUGACCCCGCCUCAAGAAGGUGCUGGAGCAGCCCUGAUGCACAGAAGUCUCGACCAGAAAAUCUUCCAUAAGAACAAACACUCCGGCGCUCAAACACACUUAUUUAUUUAAACUUUCAAAGUCUCUGAAGUUAAUAAAGUUCUUCCUGGGGAAAGCCAGCUUUUCCCUCUUUCCCCCACUCCCUCUCCCAACUUCAGUGCCAAUACAGGGACAUUAAGGACACCACCAUACGCUGAGUUGACACCAGGAAGCUUCCCCAUCUAAAACUGACAGAGAACUGCUAAAGCUAGGAAGCUUUUCUCCUGUGGGACUGUGAAGUUCUGCUUCCUUCUCAUUAAUAAGAGAAUUUUAUUUCCUUGGCAAAAUGGAGCAUAGCUGUCAGUUAUCCAUGACAGGGAAAUCAUAAUAUUAUUCUAGUUUGCCUUCAGCACCCCUCCAUCUCUUACUGAGUUAAUUUAGGUGCAAAUCAGCCUAUUUUUGGCUCUUCAAAUGUGUUAAUCUUCAUGAAGAAAAGACAGAAUAGUACAGUGUUUAGUAUUUCAAUGUCAGGAUUAAAAUCCUGGCUUCCCCAUUAACCUGUUAUGGCACUUUGAGCAUUUCACCUAUAAAAUGUGUAUGUUUUCUAAGAAAUACAUAACAACAGUACCUUUUCAAUAGGACACUGGGGAAGGUUAAGUGAAAAAGUGCACAUAUAGAUCUGAACAUAUAGUUAAGCAUAUAGUAAUUGUUCAAUAAAAGUAAGUUAUUGUUGGUAUUGG